GCCUGUUUGGCUCAGUGGAUUGAGCAUCAGCCUGCGGACUGAAGGAUCCCAGGUUUGAUUCCUGGUCAGGGCA
rfam:Myotis lucifugus cont2.3654, whole genome shotgun sequence.